GACGGGGGGUCCUAGCGUUGUUCGGAAUCAUUGGGCGUAAAGCGUGUGCAGGUGGUUUGUAAAGUUGGAUGUGAAAGCCUUGGGCUUAACCCAAGAAGUGCAUUCAAAACUGCCAAACUUGAGUAGGGAAGAGGGUCGUGGAAUUCCAGGUGUAGUGGUGAAAUACGUAGAUAUCUGGAGGAACACCGGUGGCGAAGGCGGCGACCUGGUCCUAUACUGACACUCAUACACGAAAGCGUGGGGAUCAAACAGG
rnacentral:rRNA from 1 species